UACAGAGACUGCAAGCGUUAUUCGGAUUCACUGGGCGUAAAGGGUGCGCAGGCGGCCGGGUGUGUCAGAUGUGAAAUCCCGAGGCUCAACCUCGGAACUGCGUCUGAAACUACUCGGCUAGAGUACUGGAGAGGGUAACGGAAUUCACGGUGUAGCAGUGAAAUGCGUAGAUAUCGUGAGGAACACCAGAGGCGAAGGCGGUUACCUGGACAGUUACUGACGCUCAGGCACGAAAGCAUGGGGGAGCAAACAGG
rnacentral:rRNA from 1 species